UUGUGGUGCGCUGCCGUUUUAUCGUGCCAACAAGGAUGUGCUCUCUCUGCCGAGCGCGCGCAUACACGUAUACUAGGGCUAUCAGUCACCGUAGUAAUGGCGACGAGUGACGAGAAGUCAUCGAACAAGGAAGGGAACAACCUGCUGGCCGCACCGACCUUCACGGAGCUCGUGAAUGGACGCUUCAAGUGCGUGGAGACUGGCCACGAAGUGCUCGCCAAAGACAAGGAAUCCUACUCUCAGUCCAAACGGUGUCGUUUGGGUCUCAUCGACUUCGCUAUCUCCCAAAAUAAACCUCCUCUCAACAUGUUCAAGCAAGAUCCUCUCUCCCGUUCAAAGUUGAUAUGUAAGCUAACAGGAGACACCAUAAAUAAGUGCGAGGAACAUAUAUGGAAGCACAUCAAUGGCAAACGAUUCCUCAACAAACUAGAGGAUAAGGAAGCAGAAAAGCUAACCUCAGAUGGAAAAUCAGAAGAGAAGAGUGGGCAGAAGCCCCAAAAAGCAUCAAAGCCAUCCACGGUUGGUAUAAUGAAGAAGAAGAAGGAUAAAGACAAAGGAGUUGAUGAGAUUAUCUUUGUAGUCAGGAAUUUGUCUGAUGAGAGCACUGAUUCAGAAGAAGCUGAUUUCUGGAUGCCUCUUGUGGGAGAACACCGUGAUUUUGAUGAUGGAGGAGAUCGAUGGUGUUGCAGUUCAGAGUCGGGGCAGGAAAGCGACAAGGUUAAUGGAAUGGCUGAAGAAGGUGGCAAGGACACAGAAGAACUCUCUAUGCGGACAAAAAGAAUGUCCAUUGAAAUUGGACCUAGCAGUUUUGCCUCAAGGAAGAAAAGGUGCAAGAAGAAUCUGACAAAUUAAUAUGCUCAUCAUAAUUUACUGCUAGCAAUUUGUUGGAAAAUGAAGCUUUGAAGUUUCUCCUAUCAGGUUUACAAGAGGCAAUGCUCGAAAAAGGAACAAUACGAUUGAACAGACACGGCAAAGGAUAUGCACUUAUGCCAGGCAAAUCUCGAACAGCAGCAGCGAAGACUCCCAGAUCAACCCCAUUCCUGCAUUGAAUCCCAUAAUCUCGUUGAAGAUCAGCCAGGUUGCUUUUGAUGCUGGCACCAACAAAUGUUAUAUCUGAAAGAUCGAGAAACUUGGAAAGGGAAGUGGGUACUUUCUCGAAGUGUGUAAGGUGUAUAAUAAGGCAAUCAUUUUCCACACCUAGCAUCAACACUACAACUCUUUCCUUGACCAUUCCGUAACUAGCUGAGCAGAAUGACUUCUCUAUAUCUAAAGCCACAACUCUCUCAUGGACAUUACCUCCCCCAUGCAGCUUUCCAUUAACAUUAGACGAGUAAUCUAAGGCUCUCUUCCAGCGCCAGCUCAUCGGUUACAACAGUCGUUUUGAACUUUCCUGUAAGGGCUCUAAAAUUAGAAGAGCUGGACAUCUUCUAAGGUGGAAUGGAAGGUUAAACUAUUCUUCAUUCAAAUAAAGAAUAAGAAUAAUGAACUACUGCAUUGGACUAGCAAGAGGUGGCUAUUUAUAUGCAACCUAGAUAUAUUGUAUGAACUCCUGCUAAAUUGCUCUGCCUCUUCGGUUGCAGCAAAGCUAGAAUUCCAAGAUGAGGUGUAGUGAUAUUGUCUUUGGGAAGCUACACCGUCUUUGACAACUACAUGGAAACUUGAAGAGGAAGACCGAGAGUCACAUCUUUUCCAGGUUUAA